rnacentral:rRNA from 1 species
UAGGGAAUCUUCCACAAUGGACGCAAGUCUGAUGGAGCAACGCCGCGUGAGUGAAGAAGGGUUUCGGCUCGUAAAGCUCUGUUGUUGGUGAAGAAGGACAGGGGUAGUAACUGACCUUUGUUUGACGGUAAUCAAUUAGAAAGUCACGGCUAACUACGUGCCAGCAGCCGCGGUAAUACGUAGGUGGCAAGCGUUGUCCGGAUUUAUUGGGCGUAAAGCGAGUGCAGGCGGUUCGAUAAGUCUGAUGUGAAAGCCCUCGGCUUAACCGAGGAACUGCAUCGGAAACUGUUUUUCUUGAGUGCAGAAGAGGAGAGUGGAACUCCAUGUGUAGCGGUGAAAUGCGUAGAUAUAUGGAAGAACACCGGUGGCGAAGGCGGCUCUCUGGUCUGUUACUGACGCUGAGGCUCGAAAGCAUGGGUAGCGAACAGG